UCGAGGGGCAGCGGAGGCGAGAGCUUGCUCUCGCCUGCCGGCGACCGGCGCACGGGUGAGUAACACGUAUGCAACCUGCCCUUUGCAGGAGGAUAACCGGGAGAAAUUCCGACUAAUACUGCAUAACACUCCCUUACCACAUGGUUUGGGAGUCAAAGGAAGCAAUUCCGGCAAAGGAUGGGCAUGCGGCACAUUAGCCAGUUGGCGGGGUAACGGCCCACCAAAGCGACAAUGCGUAGGGGUUCUGAGAGGAAGGUCCCCCACAUUGGUACUGAGACACGGACCAAACUCCUACGGGAGGCAGCAGUGAGGAAUAUUGGUCAAUGGGCGCAAGCCUGAACCAGCCAAGUCGCGUGAGGGAUGACGGUCCUAUGGAUUGUAAACCUCUUUUGUCAGGGAGCAAAGCCGCCCUCGUGAGGGCGGAAGGAGAGUACCUGAAGAAAAAGCAUCGGCUAACUCCGUGCCAGCAGCCGCGGUAAUACGGAGGAUGCGAGCGUUAUCCGGAUUUAUUGGGUUUAAAGGGUGCGUAGGCGGAAGAUUAAGUCAGCGGUCAAAUGUCGGUGCUCAACACCGGCCUGCCGUUGAAACUGGUUUUCUUGAGUGAGCGAGAAGUAUGCGGAAUGCGUGGUGUAGCGGUGAAAUGCAUAGAUAUCACGCAGAACUCCGAUUGCGAAGGCAGCAUACCGGCGCUCAACUGACGCUGAGGCACGAAAGCGUGGGGAUCG
rnacentral:rRNA from 1 species